AAUAAAAUGCCUGAUAAAAAGGGUUAUCUUGAUAGGAUAAAUUAUAUACUAUUUGUAUUUUUAUUA
rnacentral:tRNA from 1 species